UACGUAGGGGGCGAGCGUUGUCCGGAUUUACUGGGCGUAAAACGCUUGUAGGCGGCCACGCCAAGUCGGAUGUGAAAUCUCCCGGCUUAACUGGGAGGGUCAUGCGAUACUGGCGGGCUCGAGGCAGGUAGGGGGAAGCGGAAUUCCCGGUGUAGUGGUGGAAUGCGUAGAUAUCGGGGAGGAACACCAGUGGCGAAGGGCGGCUU
rnacentral:rRNA from 1 species